rnacentral:rRNA from 1 species
CGAAGCAGUGAACUUAAGCCCCAGUAAACGGCGGCCGUAACUAUAACGGUCCUAAGGUAGCGAAAUUCCUUGUCGGGUAAGUUCCGACCCGCACGAAAGGCGUAACGAUUUGGGCACUGUCUCAACAACAGACUCGGUGAAAUUGUAAUUCCGGUGAAGAUGCCGGAUACCUGCGACAGGACGGAAAGACCCCAUGGAGCUUUACUGUAGCUUGACAUUGGGUCUUGGUACUACAUGUACAGGAUAGGUGGGAGGCUUUGAAACCAGGACGCCAGUUUUGGCGGAGCCAUCCUUGGGAUACCACCCUUGUAGUACUGGGACUCUAACCAUAGGCCAUGAAUCUGGUCUUGGGACACUGUCAGGUGGGCAGUUUGACUGGGGCGGUCGCCUCCCAAAAGGUAACGGAGGCGCUCAAAGGUUCUCUCAGUACGGUCGGAAAUCGUACGUAGAGUGUAAAGGCAAAAGAGAGCUUGAUUGCAAGACAUACAGGUCGAGCAAGGAUGAAAAUCGGACUUAGUGAUCCGGUGGUUCUGCGUGGAAGGGCCAUCGCUCAACGGAUAAAAGCUACCCUGGGGAUAACAGGCUUAUCUCCCCCAAGAGUCCACAUCGACGGGGAGGUUUGGCACCUCGAUGUCGGCUCAUCACAUCCUGGGGCUGUAGUAGGUCCCAAGGGUUGGGCUGUUCGCCCAUUAAAGUGGUACGCGAGCUGGGUUCAGAACGUCGUGAGACAGUUCGGUCCCUAUCCGUCGCAGGCGUAGGAAAUUUGAGAAGACCUGUCCUUAGUACGAGAGGACCGGGAUGGACG